AACUACCAGCGAAAAGCUAAAAACUCAAAGGACUUGAUGGUGUCCCACAUCAACCUAGAGGAGCCUGUCCUAUAACCGAUAACCCACAAUUCACCCCCCCUGCCCUAGCCCAUCAGCCUAUAUACCGCCGUCUUCAGCUCACCUAAUGAUAGAUACCCAGCAAGUACAAUUGGGCACCGCCCCUGAUACAGCAGGUCAAGGUGUAGCUAAUGAGCAGG
rnacentral:rRNA from 1 species